rnacentral:rRNA from 1 species
GACGAACGCUGGCGGCGUGCCUAAUACAUGCAAGUCGAGCGAAAUGUUUCUGGUGUUUGCACUAGCUAAACUUAGCGGCGAACGGGUGAGUAACACGUAAAGAACCUGCCUCAUAGACUGGGCUUACUAUUGGUAACGAUAGCUACUACCGGAUGACAGUACUUCUUGCUUGGGAGUUGUUUAAUAGUUGGUUAUGCUAACACCUUGCGGUGGCUUUGCGGUGCAUUGGCUAGUUGGUGGGGUAAAGGCCCACCAAGGCGACGAUGCAUAGCCGAACGGAGAGGGGGGUCGGCCACACGGGGACGGGAACAGGGCCAAGACUCCUACGGGAGGCAGCAGUAGGGAAUCGGCCGCAAUGGGCGAAAGCCUGACGGAGCAGCGCCGCGUGAGUGAAAAAGAAGUUCGGUGCGUAAAGCUGUGUUGUUAGGGAAAAAUGGAUAUGUAGUAACUAUACGUGUAAGAGACGGUACCUAGCCAGAAAGCCACGGCUAACUACGUG